AGAGUUGCCAAAUUUCCCUUGAUGAAACGUGUAUUUUUGACGCAAUUUAAGCAUAUUUUUCCUUAAAAUUUCAGAUAUUUUAGAUUAAAUUGCGUACAAAAUUGUGUGGAAAUUUUGGGGGAUAAUAUUUACAAUUUUUCCUGUAAAUUCGGUUUUUAUCGAAAGAAAUUCGGCAACAUCUGAAGGCGCAUACGGUGUUUUUCCUUAGCACGGCAGUAUAACUGGGCAUGCUUUUCUUAUCUUAGUUGUUUAAUUUUUCUCUUUUUGCAGAUGGCACUCACACUUUGCCGAGCAGCUGAGUUCGUCAGAUAAAUCUAGGGAUGCAUAUUAUCCGCCCCAGUCUCACCUUUUGGGCAGUUUAUCAGAUUCAAAGUUGCAGGACCAGCAGGCGCACGGGCACGGUCACAGGAGCCGGAGCCCCCGCCGGGUUCCCCGGGCGGCGAAGCCGGGAGCAGUCUCUCCGACUCGGAUAUAAGCCUCGGGGCUCCGUCCCCCGGCCCCCCACCCACCAGCCAAGUUCCUUACAAACCCCUCGCCCUCCACAGACCCUUCUCGCCCGCCAAGCCCUACUCGCCCAGGAACCUCGAGGCCACUCGUUGCUGAGCCUAAGUUCACGACGCAUUUGUAAAGAUUACUCAAAGUUUUCCCCUUGCGGUUCGCAUUCCUUGAACACACUUCUCGCCAAGCCUAGAAAGCAGAGUCCAAGAACUCAGUGAGCCUUCAUAAAUUACAUAACGCACAUUUACAGCAUUUUUUCGUAAAAAUUGUUGGUGGUUCGAUGGACGCCGUAUUUUGUGUCAGAACGGCAUGCGAUAUAUCGCAUCAAUUGAUUCUAUUUUUUCAGCUAUACUCGUCAUUUUUCUCCAAUUUUGAGAUCGCAAUUCUGUUGUCAGGAGACUAAAGCACUCACUUACCAAUUUUAACAAAGAAAUUCAACGUGAUAAAGGCGUGGUUUUGUUAGAGAGAAAAUAUCGCAUUCGAGGGCAGUUUCGAUAUCAGUAUCGAAUGCGAUAUUUUCUCUCUAAAAAAACCACGCCUUUAUUACGUUGAAUUUCUUUGUUAAAAUUGGUAAGUGAGUGCUUUAGUCUCCUAACAACAGAAUUGCGAUCUCAAAAUUAGAGAAAAAUGACGAGUAGCUGAAAAAAUGGAACCAAUUGAUGCGAUAUAUCGCAUGCCGUUCUGACACAAAAUAUGGCGUCCAUCGUAUCACCUUAUAAGCGUCUUUAUGCUUUACUUAAUCACAAUGUUAACCACGUAGGGACUCCCUGGGGAACGAAGCUGUUUAAGGAACAGCUACGAUACUUGGACGUUUUUGUUAUUCAAGGAAUGCACCUUGGCAUUUUAAGCAUAAAACAUACGUUUGUCAGGCGUAACUUUGAAAGUUGUAAUUAUAAGAUUUUCUGGUUCUGACCCUUUUGACUGGACCGUCUAGUUGUAAAUGAAUGCAACCACCAAGAGCCAAGCUUCAAGAGUACGAAAAUAACCAUAGGGAUUUAACGAUCCCUCAUAUUUCUAAUGAGAAAAAAACCCCAAAAAGCGGUCACAUUAUGGCAGCUUUAAUUGUAGUCUGUUUCAGAAGGUUUUUAAAUAUGAUGUUUACGAAACAUAGUUUAAAGCCCACUCCAGUGCUUUUUUUAAUAUUUUGGAACAUCCCCUGCGUUGAGAAGGGUAUAAAACGUUUUUCACUCCUCUACCACUGAAAUGAAAAUUCAAAUUUUAAACCAAGAAAGUGGCAUUCAAUAGCGAUUUGGCAAUAUAGCUUAUGAAUUAGAACGAUGCACCUAUGUCCUUGAUGGAUAGUCAACCCGCAAGUAACUGAAAUGAGAACAACUUUGCAUCCAAUUUCGACUAGACGGUUCGAAAACACAAAAUUACCUGUUGGCUCUCCGAUUUUGUUUAUUAUUUUUUGUAAUGAAUUUAUUCACUUGUUCAUUUGUAUCAUCGUCGUGGAAUGGGAGUGGACUGGCGGAAAAGAGGCCUCAAAAAGGGCUCAGUGACCCUUUCGAUAAAUCUUUAAAAAUCGAACACGCUAGAUAUCUCUUUUGUGAAAUAUUUCCAGGUGUUACCAACAAUGGUCAAAUCAGGCAUUUGAUGAAAUAGCAGUGAGUCCGUUAAUUAUCGGAUAAUUCAGUUUUAUGCCGUUUUUAUUAAAACAAAAAGAAACAGCCGUGGACAAUAAACUGAUAUCAUUUGAACAUAAGUGCGAAAAAGUAGUUAAACGAUCAAUACUAUGAAUCGAGAAGGUCGUCGAUAAUAUGUAUGAAAAAGUCGUUGCCUUCCAAAAUUUGCCUAUUUGCCAUGAUGUUUUAUAAAGUAAUGUUUGAUUUUACAGUUUUUUACGACAAAAACAAUGACCAAAGAUUUUUACUGAAAAAAGUAAAAAAAGGCCCUUUUCAGCUGGCUUUCCGCUCUAAGAAGUUUGUCUACAAGCCAUUCCACUCCUGUUGUAAACUUAAAAUCAGUGGUGUGGCGUGCUUUGCGAUAUAUCGAUUGACCCUCCAUUAAAACCUGUGGAUAAGGACCGAUAAACAGGGUGUUCGCCUCGAAUACCUUAAUAAUCGAUCUCUCACUACAGCUUUAAAUGGGGAAAUAUCGAUAAAAGAUCAUUCACGCCUCGCCACUGCAAAAUAUUAGGCAAUAAGUCACCGGGAGACCACUAGUGCAAUUAAAAUAAAAAUGGAGGAGCAUUUUUACUUCCUAUGGCUUUCUCCCCUAAAAACAAAUAAGUGUGAAAUACUUGGAAAAAUGUCAUUAAAUGACGUAUACUCAAGUCAGAAGAAUUCAAUGUCUGGAAUGAUAUUUUUCUUGACUUCCUGAAUGCUUUUUUUUUAAAAUCAACGAUUCUUGCUGGUCAUUUUAAAUCAAUCCAUAUCAGUGUUAUUCUAUAAAAUGUAGUUGGUGUUUGUAGAUGACAGGUGAUUUAAGCUUCCGUUUGCGGGGUAAAGUUUUAGAAAUUUGACAUUUUUCACCGCAACUGUAUAAUAAUAAUUAUUUAAAAAAUUACUUUGACUCCAACGAAUUUAUGAAUCCGUUUGAAAGAAAUCCUUAAAUAAAGAACGUAGCAGUUACUUUAUACUAUAGUAUUAUUAAGGCAUUUGAUUUCAAAUGAAGUGUAAAUUAAAAUAAUGAAAUUUUUAUUUUCUCAUUUGGUCCAUAGUUUAAACUAUCGAACGGUUCAGGAAAACACCUAACAUUUAUGAAGGAUAUAUUUUGAAAGAUUAGUGAAGAGUGAUAUAUGAAGGAAAUACUUUUAAUUUAACGAAAAAUAUUCGUCUGAGUUUUUACACGCGUUAAUUUUAAAAUACUAAAAUUUUGCAAAUAGUUCAUAUAAUACUUCUUCAAUGAGGAUUGCAAUUGCGGAUUGUAAACAUGCAAUUGCACCUCUAAUAUUUCCUUGUAAUUUUGAUUAAAAAGCAAUACCUUUAACAGUGGCUUGGUGCGUUUUGCUAUAUGUAUAUCGAUUGAUCCUCCAUUUAAACCCGUGGAAAAAGAUCGAUAAACAAGGCGCUCGCAACGAACUCUUUGAUAAUCGAUUAUUUACCAUAGUUUCAAAAGGGGAAAUGUCGAUAAUCGAUCAUUAACGCCUCGCCACUGUCCCUUUAAAAAAUGACGUGAAUCUUGCAAAACCCUCUAACCAACCGCCUAGUUUCUCCUAUUAAUUGAAACAGAUCAACAAAAUGAGACUCAUAAUAAGAGAAAUAAACUUCAAAAGAGGAACGUAUCUCCCCUCUCUUCAUAAUUAAUAAGAAUAAGAAGAUAAUUUAUUUGAUAGUUUUUCCUAUUUUAUGGUGCUGAAUAAAUUGUCUAAUUUUAUUAUCCCACCGCGCACACCUAAAUUUGUUCGACAAAGUAAAGUAAAAUGACUAAUAAAAAUUAAAUAAUUUGAACUUUUCCUGACUAGCAUUAUUUUCUUCUAGGUUUGUUCAUUAGUCUCGAGUCCUGAAUGUUUACUAUAUGUCUCAUGUAAAAUUGUGUAAGUUAUAAUUUUAGACGAAUGGCUGUGUAAAACAUACACAAGUAGCCUUAAUAGGCAACCUGUUUUGUUUUUAAAUUGUAAAUAAAUAUUCAGUUAAAGUUCUUCUGUACUACUGUUUAAUCUCAACAAUCCAACCACAGUGAAAUAAGAUGCCCCCAAAUUUACAACAACAAUUCAUACUUCAGAUAUCAGAUCCAAACAGUGUAAUAAAAUUCAUCACCGAAAAUUGUCGGCUCAAAGAGCACCCGUCGGUAUUGCUAAACCAUUGUUUGUAAGUGGUUUGGACAAACGAUGGCUUCAAUGAACGCAACUGGAUGAUGAGAAUUAAAUUUGCCCCCAUCAGCGCUAAUUUCCAUCACUGUUUUCGAUUCACACUGCAAUAUAAAAUGAACUUGCCGCGUGUAAGUGGUGUAUGCUUGCUCUUUUUGUGCAUUGUUCAUAAUAAAAAUCAAGCUGUACAGUGAAGUUUUAUUCACCGUAUCAAGCAAUAAUGAAUCAUCCAUAAUCCUUACAUAUCCAAAGUUACUUCUAAGACAUUGUGCGCUUAUAAAGUUUCACGGGUCCAAAAAAAGUCAAUAGUACCUUCUUGGACUGGAACGUUUUUGCAGAGAUGGCAUGCUGGAUAUUAAAACCAUUUGUGAACAUUUUCCUUUUUAGUUAUCAUGGAAAAGGCUAAAAUAACGAUGUUUGGAUCGGAACAUAACUUUCAGCCUUAUAAUUUGCUCUACAUUUUUCAUCAUGGAAGUCCGAUGUAUGGCUCAUCAACGAAAACGCGUAUCUGCAUAAAAGGAAACUUAUAGCACAUAGAUUUUUUCUAAAAUAAGCCAGAAAAUACUACUUCCUACACUGCAAAAUGUAGUGCAUUUUUGAGAAAAUUAUGUUUUUAACAAAGUUAAAGAGGAAAAUGAUUGAAAUGAUGAGCUAUGCAGUAUGUUGAUACUGGAUCAAAUUUACAUAACGUCAUCCGAAAUAAAUCUGGAGAUUUUGGAUGUUACAAAUGUAAAUUCUCGGAAGAAAAAAUGAACCCUGAAAAAAACGAAUGGGUGCAAAAGUAUGGGGCUUAACCGAAAGUAAACUAAAGUAUAAAGGAAAAUGAAAACCAAAAACUGAUAUGCCUGUCGCAAUCAUAGCUUCAGAUCUAAGUAUCGGUCCAUAUCAAACUUUAAACUCGUUAAGAAUGAUGAAAAUUCUCUAAGUCAAUUAUACGUUGUAUUGUAAGUACCUAUCUCAAAACUGUACUCGGUUUCCCUUGUGAGGAAUGUAAUGAUAAAAACGCAAUAUUAUCAAUAAAGUAUAUCGUAGACAGAAUUAUGUUGAUUUCUAUAUUCUAUAAUGCAUAAGUCAUUGUACAUAAGCAUAAGUUUUUUUUUAUACAGUUGUAAAUAUUUGCAUAUAAUUUAUGGUAUCGUAAAUAUACAAAAUUAUUCAUUAAAAUCGUACUCAUCCGUCAGAUUUAUUCUCUUUUUUACCAUCUUUCUUGCAAUUUCAGCAACUUCUUCCUCUUUUCUGAGGAA
rnacentral:lncRNA from 1 species